CCCGCUGAAGGUGAGAUCGAGAGCUGCCACUUCGUCCUCUGCUGAUCUCAGAGAGCAGAGCUGCCAAUCAGACAGCUCCUCUCUGACAGCCGAGGAAAGCUCGGCCUUAUCUGCUUCCUCAGACACACCUUUCUGCAAGGCAAAGAAAAGUGAGUUUAUCUCCAGUCAUGGUGGCAACGGUCCAGUCUAACAGCAGAGCUGCACUAUGAAUGUGUGAUGUGGAUCAUGGAGCUAGAAGAUGGAACACAAAGAAGCAUGAGGUCAUUUUAACUAUUUUGUCUUGUAUUCAUUAGGAAACAACCACUGAAUUUUAUACCUUAAAAGCCUGUAAAAGUAUUUAUUAGAUUGAGAUUUGCUGAGUAUGAAACCUCACCAGUGCAAAGUGAAUCUGUAAUGAUCCUCAAUCAAAGCGUCUGUAAAGGUUUACUUAGGUGUCCUGACAUCGGACCUUGUUAAUCAAAGAGGAUCAGUGAUUAAAUUCAAAGAUUUAAGGAAACCUGGAAGCCCAAACCUCCUGUUUGGUGGACCAUUGAAUUUAUUUAUUUUUUUAUGAAAAUGUUUUAACUACUUUAUUCUAGAGCAAAAACUAUUUUAUCUUCUGAAUACACAGGAUUUUCUUUGCCUCGCCUCAUGUUCCCAGUAAAGCUCUGAGUCUCCUCUGUGACCUUCAGAAGAUGAACCUCCUCUGAUAUCUCCAGAACUUCAGCUGCUCUCGGGUCACAGCUGUGAGGAGUCCUCGGGUGGAUGUAGGACCUGGAGCGAUCACCAGAGGGCGCCGUCACACACCGUCUGUCAGGAGCCUGCAGAGAAACACAGUGCAGAGUCCAUCUGCAUGUACAGUCUGGAGUCUAGUCUGCUGUGUCCACACACUCUCAUAGAGCAGCACAGAGACUCGAUUUUGCUCCAUUUCAGAGACGAAUACUGCCGAGUUCUGCUGCGUCAGUGAGAUCAUUAAGAAGCCAUGACAUAUGAACAGUAUGCUGUGUAUACCUGCUGUAUGACAGCCCAAAGUGCAGAGUCCACUCUGUUCUCCACCUUCCUGUCAGAGCUGGACACCAUCACAACCUGUUUUUCUGGAGGUUUCUUGAAAUCACCAUCGCAUGCAGCCUCAACUGGACGACUGUCUUCCCUCUCUGACACGUCUCCAGAAUCUCUGUUUGGGAAACACAUGUGAAGGGGAGUCCAGCAGAGGUUGCAGUCAGACGGACGACAUGAGAUGCAUGAAGCUGCAGAGUCGGGCGUCAGCAGUGGACGACGAUCUUCACAUCUUGAACGUGAAUGGAGGAUUUAUGGAAAGACGAACCAAGACUGCUUCAUCCCUCCCGUCGUCCUCCUGCAUCACUUUGCAGAGAUUGGACGGUAAAUGGCAGGAGACGAAUCGCGGCCUCAGAGAGCCUCGCCGUUCACCCCGAGGGACCCGGUAUGAACGACGCGCCGCGACGAUGACGACGACCACGCGAAGGUUAGACGCUCAUCGGCAUAAAUCUAAACUGCUGCAAUCAUUGCCGUUACAUAACAGCCACACAAACAACAACAGUCCUUAUCAAUCCUGCAGACACUGAUGAAUGGCAUCAUUAUAGAGAAUGAGCUGCAGUCAAAUUACAACAGAAAAUAAUCUUUAUCUCAUGAUUAAUUGAAAGUUUUUGUCUGCUCCGCCUUCAGCUCUCCCCUCAGAAUGAUCCAGCAAAGUUACUGUCCCGUCUCUAAACGUUUCAUACUGUGAAGGUUUACAGUCAUGACAAGCCGUCCGCGAGUCCUCGUACACAGAUGACACAAUAAGUCUCAGCGAGUGUCCUCCAACUCUGUAAAUGUUUAAUUAGGGCCCGAGCACCUGGCGAAAAAUUUUAUAAUCUA